GAUGAACGCUAGCUACAGGCUUAACACAUGCAAGUCGAGGGGUAACAAGAGGAAAGCUUGCUUUCCUUGUCGACGACCGGCGCACGGGUGAGUAACGCGUAUCCAACCUGCCCCCAACUAGGGAAUAACCUUGCGAAAGUAAGACUAAUACCCUAUAAUUUCCUCAGAUGUCAUCUGACGAGGAAUAAAGAUUUAUCGGUUGUGGAUGGGGAUGCGUCUGAUUAGCUUGUUGGCGGGGUAACGGCCCACCAAGGCAACGAUCAGUAGGGGUUCUGAGAGGAAGGUCCCCCACAUUGGAACUGAGACACGGUCCAAACUCCUACGGGAGGCAGCAGUGAGGAAUAUUGGUCAAUGGGCGGAAGCCUGAACCAGCCAAGUAGCGUGCAGGAUGGCGGCCCUAUGGGUUGUAAACUGCUUUUAUACAGGAAUAAAGUUAGCCACGUGUGGUUAUUUGUAGGUACUGUAUGAAUAAGGACCGGCUAAUUCCGUGCCAGCCGCCGCCGUAA
rnacentral:rRNA from 1 species